UACAUGGGGUGCAAACGUUGCUCGGAAUCAUUGGGCGUAAAGCGCGCGUAGGCGGUUACUUAAGUUGGAUGUGAAAGCCCUCGGCUUAACUGAGGAAGUGCAUCCAAAACUGAGUAGCUAGAGUACGAAAGAGGGUCGCGGAAUUCCCGGUGUAGAGGUGAAAUUCGUAGAUAUCGGGAGGAACACCGGUGGCGAAGGCGGCGACCUGGGUCGAGACUGACGCUGAGGAGCGAAAGCGUGGGGAGCAAACAGG
rnacentral:rRNA from 1 species